CACCUCUCGGCCUCCGGCUCCGCUCGUGCAGGAAGCCUCUGAGCGCCCGGCUGCUCCCGUGUGCGGCUGCGUCCGGGGCUCUGCAGACGCCCGGGCUCCGAGGCUCCUUCCUCCCGGUCCGGGGACAAGGCCGGGCCGAAGCCAGGGGACCCUGCCUCGCUGCGCCCCAGUCACCUCUCCCUGCUGCUGGCGAACUUCCCCUCUAAAUUCCUGCCGCGGGAUGUCCACGGUCUGUGCCAACGGCCUGACUCUGCCUCCCCCGCGCACGCUCCACGCAGCACAGGGCAGGCCCUGCUUUUUCUGCGGAAGAGGGAGAUGUUGUCGCUGCUAACAUCCGGGAAAGAGCCAAGUUUGGGAAAGAGGCCGGUGACCGGCCAACAAGUGUCCUCGGCAGGGGGCCGCCCUGCUGUCGGCGGCUCCUGACCACCCAGGCUCGGCGUCUCCCAGCUGGGGAAGGAGGGAGGCCUGAAGGCGGCCCGCAGACCCUGGGGUCCCCGGCGGCCCAGCCCGCAGCCACCGCGGCGCGUCUGCGUGUGUAGAAGCCGCUUCCACGAGCACAGAAAUCUCUUAAGAUCUCAGGGACGAGCACUCAAGAACACAAGCCAGUGCCGGUGGAGCGAGGGAGAGACAGGCGGGCAGCAGGGGGACGUCAAUGAAUGAGCUUCGUCCUUCUGGGGAUUGUCAACGUGACUUAUGGUCGCCAUCAAAGUACUUAAGAAUGUUCCGAAGGUGGGAAGGAGAAGAUGAAGGCCAUUGCUUUUUUUUUUUCUUUUAAAAAAAUUUUUUUAUUGGUGUUCAAUUUGCCACCAUAUAGCAUAACACCCACUGCUCCUCCCAUCAAGUGCCGCCCUCAGUGCCCGUCA